AUGAUGAGGAUACGGACCCUUAUGUGGAUGAACGGGCGUAGCAAAACACAGUACCAUCACUUCGGUGACGUUAUCACCUUCGACCCGACAUACAAAACAAACCUGUAUGAUAUGCCAUUUGGUCUGUUUGUGGGGGUGAAUAAUCAUUUUCAGAGUGUGCUUUAUGCGGGGGUUUUGAUGCGAGACGAGACCGAGGAUACAUUCAAAUGGAUUUUUGAUGAGUUCGUGAAGAUGAUGGGUGGUAAAAAACCAAUUACAAUUCUAACAGAUCAAGCUAGAGCCAUGGAAAAGGCAAUCGAGGAGGUGUAUCCUGAAUCCACGCAUCGCUGGUGCAAAUGGCACGUGCUGAAGAAGGCCAAAGAAAACCUGGGUGCUCAUUACACCAAGAAGUCAGAUUUCAGGGCUGAAUUCCACAAGCUUGUGCAUGAGAUGCUGACUAUUGAUGAAUUCGAGGACGGCUGGGCAGCAUUGCUUGACAAAUAUUCACUGAAAACAAAUCCAUAUCUCGUGCAGAUCUACGAGACUAGGCAGAAGUGGGCAAAACCUUACUUUGCCGGGAAAUUCUGUGCUCGCCAAACUAGCACUGGCAGGAGUGAGAGUGCAAACCAUAUGCUGAAGCAGUAUGUCCCCCCGUCAUGCUCAAUGAAUCUAUUUGUCAAGCAAUACAACAAGCUCCAGUUCGACCGAGAACAGGAGGAAGGAUUCCAGGAGAAACGUACUAGACUGAGUCAUGUUGUGCUGAAGGUGAACACCUCUCUUGAAGUACACGCAAGCAAGAUAUAUACUAGGAAGAUGUUUGAGAUUUUUGGUGGCAUACUGUAUGAAUCUGGAAUGUAUGAUGUCGAAGAAAUCAUAGAGAAGCAGAAAUACAUAGUGACACACCGGAGAGCCGAGCUCUGUGAGAAGUGGUUCAAGUGCCGGUUUGAAGUCAACGUGUCUAAUAACCUUGGUUAUUUCUCGUGCAUUUGCGGUCUGUUUGAGCACAUGGGCAUGGUUUGCUGUCACUCGCUACAGGUGAUGGUUCUACUACGCCUGAAGCAGAUACCUUCGAGGCAUAUACUGAAAAGGUGGAGCAUACACGGCAGAGACAACCUGCCAGCGCAUCUGAAGCACUAUCAACAAGACAUGGGUCUGUCGGAUGCGCCCACUUUCAGGCAUUCUGCUCUGUACAUCACUGCCCUGGAGGUUGCAAAUAUGGGGGACAGGAACCCGGCAGCUUCUGAGUUUAUGAUGACAGGCCUGGUUGAACUUAGAACAAGAGGCGCCGAGGUGUGCGCGUUCAAUGACGGCCUUGGCGUCGUUGAGCAACAGGUAUCCAACAAUGUAGUUCUUGGCGGUCCAAACUCAAAGUUUUUCAACGGCAAGACAUCUUGCUCCGUAAGAAGUGUGGAAGGCAAUCGAACUAAAUCACGCGAUGCCGCGUCUGUGUCUAUGCAUCCUCCAAUUAGCCAGGCCUCAGAAGCAUCAUGCCCAAAUGGUGAUGGGUACAAUUCAGAUUUCUUUGAAGCCGCGUCCAGCCUGAUGCCCAAUGUUGAACAAGAACUGCUUGCCCCGGAAAGAAAAAACAAACAAGGCGGGCCAACCACUAGCCGUGAUAAACUCCUUAUGAGAAAGACAUCGCCAAGAGAUCUAGGUUCUGUUCCAUCUGCAGGGGCAAAGGUCACAAAGCCAGCACUUGCCCUGAUCAAGGUGAUAUCCCCAAAAAGGAAAGGAAGGUGGCCACAUGCGGCAAAUGCAGGGUUCCAGGGCACCGAAGGAUGA
rnacentral:rRNA from 1 species